CGCACGGUGGCUUAGUGUAUAGCACGUUCGCCUCACACCUCCAGGGUCCGGGGUUCGAUUCCCCCCGGGGCCA